rnacentral:rRNA from 1 species
CAGUCGCCGCGGGAAUACGUAGGGUGCAAGCAUUAUCCGGAGUGACUGGGCGUAAAGAGUUGCGUAGGCGGUUAGUAAAGUGAAUAGUGAAACCUGGUGGCUCAACCAUACAGACUAUUAUUCAAACUCACUAACUCGAGAAUGGUAGAGGUAAUUGGAAUUUCUUGUGUAGGAGUGAAAUCCGUAGAUAUAAGAAGGAACACCAAUGGCGUAGGCAGAUUACUGGACCAUUUCUGACGCUGAGGCACGAAAGCGUGGGGAGCGAACCGGAUUAGAUACCCCUGUAGUCCCUGUCUCUUAU